CAUAAGCCAUGUAAACAUAAGCGUGUGUUCGCUUCAGCAGUAUGUUUGUUCUGCUCGUCUCGUUUGUGUCACACGGGUUUGUAACGACAUGCUGUUUAUUUGGGUUCAUUUGAUUUCUUUUGACAGUGAGUUCAGUCAGCAGGACCUGAUGAUGAAAUAUGAUCUCUUGGAUGAUGUAUGUGUUUAAAUGAUGUAGUAAGGACUGAAUGUGCCGAUGGCUCGUCUCUAACAUUCACACUGCUAUUGACGAAUUGUUCUCUUUCUGAAGAACAGCUGAUGAUGAAGAUGAUGAAGACUCCAGCAGCUCCUCUAGACUCGUUCCGUAUGGAGGAGAUUCAUCAGAUGAGGAGGAGCGCAUGCGCAGCGGGAAUAAGAGCUCCAUCUAAACGCAUGUCUGCGCAGAACUGCAGCACCACAGACUUUAUUUGAUCACGUUUUACUGGCAGGACUGCUGUGUAACUGUUCCUAUGGAAUAAUAAACGAAAGAAACCCCACACAGAUGCUGGCUGUGGUUUAUUCAGCUCUAGAUCAGUUGAGAUCUAAGUCCUGUUCGUGGGCUCAGGGCUGCGUGACGUGUGGCGGCGCGGUCAGUCCGGCGCGGAGCGUCAGCGCUCCGGGGUUAUCCAGCGCGAAACACGGCUGAACGUAGUGCAGGAACUGACAGCUGAAGGUGUAGAGGUGCUGCCGCAGCGCUGCGUUGUAGAAGGACAGGAUCCCGCGGGUGUAAUCGAGGAACACACCGAUCCGCAGCGGCUGAACUGUGAUGCGGAUGUCCGGCGUCCAGCCGUUGUGCAGGAACUCGUAUUUGUGUCUGCAGGAGGAGACAGAAGCCUGAGCGUUCAGAUGGACUCUAGAUAGACACGAGUACCUCACCAUUCCCCCUCAUUCAUGCUAUAGGACCCUAGUGAAAACAUGAUGAGCUCACAGAUGCAGUGUUGACAAGUCUGCCGUUUUCCUGCAAAAUUGGUCUACUUUAACACUGUCGUCACGGGUUGUUUUUCAUGUCGUUGAGUUGAAGCGACCCCAAUAACGUGAUAUUUAGCCCCUGUCAUGCAAAUUGUACCGGAGAACCCCA
rnacentral:lncRNA from 1 species